rnacentral:rRNA from 1 species
CCUACGGGGGGCAGCAGUGGGGAAUAUUGCACAAUGGGGGAAACCCUGAUGCAGCGACGUCGCGUGAGUGAAGAAGUAAUUCGUUAUGUAAAGCUCUAUCAGCAGGGAAGAAAAUGACGGUACCUGAGUAAUAAGCCCCGGCUAACUACGUGCCAGCAGCCGCGGUAAUAAGGAGGGGGCAAGCGUUAUCCGGAUUUACUGGGUGUAAAGGGAGCGUAGACGGCAGUGCAAGUCUGGAGUGAAAGGCGGGGGCUCAACCCCCGGACUGCUGUGGAAACUGUACGGCUGGAGUGCAGGAGAGGUAAGUGGAAUUCCUAGUGUAGCGGUGAAAUGCGUAGAUAUUAGGAGGAACACCAGUGGCGAAGGCGGCUUACUGGACUGUAACUGACGUUGAGGCUCGAAAGCGUGGGGAGCAAACAGGAUUAGAUACCCCUGUAGUC